GUUUCCUCAGGAAGCAACAUGAAUUUCUUCUUCCUUUUUUUAUAAUUUUUCUCCCUUUAGCCGAUGUGGCAAAACCAGAUGUAUUAGAACCUCACGAGUUUAUUCAUUUACGAUCACCGACUGUCAAAAAAGUCAGAUGUCUCGCUUCCGGUAAAGCUAUUGGUGAAAUUUUUGAAACAAAGCAUCAAUUAUACGAUAUCGAUCCCUAGAAUGUACAGGAGUUGACAAUGGUAAAAAAAUAAAGACCGCUACCUAAUGUUCAUUCGUAUAAGACAGCUAACACAUCUAAUAUUUUCAAUUGAGUUCUUACAGUUCCUACAUCUUCCACUAAUAUGCUUUUGCAUCAAAUUACUAGCUUUGGCUGCAUUGACGCGACUGGGUCUUUCUGUCGCAUUGUGAGUUGCCUAUAGGUAAUGUUAACAAACAAAUUCUAGCUAACUUAUUCUACAGGCUAAAUGAACUUGAAAACAAUAAAUUGAACAUUGGUUUUAAAGAAAUGUAAAACUCGACAAGUUGCAUACUUUCUGUUUUCAAAGUAUGUCUAGCUAUACGCCUUUUGCGACAAUCAAAUGUCGCGGUCUCUGUACCGGUUUGUUAGUCAUGGUUUAGUUGGAGCGCAUUUUGUAGUCCGCCUUAUGUUGAAUCGUUCUUUGGUCUGUAAAACAACCCUAACCACACAAUGUGUCACACGUGAGAUAAGGCGAUAUUGUGUUCGGAGUCUGAAGAGUUUAAAAGUACUAUGGUUUAGCUCAAUUAUUGAAAAUUUGUUAUUUUUCAAUGUGUGAUAAUAAGCCUGUACUUUUUUUUUUAUUAUAAGCGCUUUGUUGCAGCUAGGGUAUCGUCUUUUUCGCUUUUUUGUAUAAAAGCGUAGGUAAACGUCAGCUACCUAUGUUUGGUUAAAGCCUAUACACUAGUUGCUUAAUGAAUGUUCAAUUUAACAAUGCGCAUAUUAUUGCUCUUUGUCUAAUUUAAUCAUAUUCUUUAUAAAACUUGAGUAACUGCAAACCUUUUUUUAAUUUUCUUUUCUUCACUAGCAUUUGAAAGGUUUUCUUUCCUAUUGUUAUCUAACAAAGAAAACUUUCUUUUUUUUAGAGUAAUUACAUAGUUGAUUAUAUGGGAUACUUCUGCAUUUUCAAUUAAGUUUCGUAGUGGAUAAUUCAAUGAUCUUAAAUUCUUAACGCUGUGAGCGUAUUAACUUUGUUUCGGCAUUGCAGACAAUAACGUAACUUUUAGUUGAAUUUUUUUCGCUGUUAUGAAAAUUCGAGUGUGGGCAUCCACUCAUCCGUAGCUUCACCCAGAUUAUAAAUAUCUGUUUUUAACUUGUAUCGCACCAACCUUAGGAACCACAUAGUUUAAUUUAGCUCAUUCAAGCGUUUCGUUGUCCUAGAUAACGUUAAAAAAUUUAUUGUAAAGUGCGAGUUCAAAAUUAAGCGAUUGAAAUUAUUAUUAAUAUUGUUUAUGAGUGUGUCACAUCAUAAAAAGAAGGCUGGUUGGUCGUUAAACUUUUUUUUUCAUUCUCUAUUUUUUAAUUAACCUCUUUAUCUAAGCUAACCUGUCAACGGUCAUAGGUAGCUUUAACUCCUGUAUGGUUUUUUCGGUUCAUAGCUCUUAUUCAUUCUGAAAACGAAAAGGAACACGAAACCGUUACUGCAUAAGGCAUCCUUUCGGAGCUCAUAGUUCGUCAUAAUACCUUAACCCUUGAAGGAGAGCACUGAAUGAAACGAAGGGUUUCGUCGUUGCCUAAGCGGCUCUUCAGUAGAAUUCGGUCUCAGGCUAUUGCUAGGCUAAUUCCAUUCCUUGAAGCGGGAUUACUCCGAAGCAAGGUCCCACCGUUUAAGUCUUGUUUGCGAGCUCCAUCCAUUUAAAGUCUCAGUUAUCGACUGAAUAGGAACACGAAAUCUUAAAUUUCUGAUUUUUCUUCCCAUUACUUCCGAUACACUUUUUCUAGUUUUUUUAUUCCCUUAGAGAUUAUUUGCUUACAACUGCUGACUUUUUGCGAUGCUGUGAUGCUUAGUAAACAUUUUUCAAUUAGCAACAUAUUGAGAGUAUUCUUGAAUAGUUGGCGAAAAAGGGCGUUGCUAAGGAGUUUAAAAAAGUCAUUAUGCAUACUAUUCAUUCUGUUUCCUGUAACUCAAGUUGCGUAGGCCGUUUGACUAGGGCGUAAUGUUUGUAGGAUAUGUGUAACGGGAAUUUGAAAUAAUAGCAUGUGUUCUGCUUUACCUUGGAAUUUUCAAUAAUUCAUUUGAAUAGAUUUUAUAGGGUUUGCUUUUACAACUGGGCAGUAUUCUGAUGUAUCUCAAUUAAAGUAAAAUUUUUAACGUAGGAUCAAACGAAUUAUGCUUGGGGGUUUUGACAAUCAUAACAAAAGUGAAAAUUUUGAAAAUGUUAUAUAACUACUUUUAACAAAAUGUUUCAAUUUUAAGAAAUUCUUUUGAAUGACGUUUCCCAUUUCGAUAUCAAUGGGCCAUCCUAACCUGUCAGUCCUACAGUCAGUUGUUCAUUCUUUUUGGUAAUAUACCAAUACAAAUGUCAUUUGGUCUACAAAAAAACCCGCACGUCUCACUCCAUGCCUGGAAGUAGACUAAACUCGUUUUCGUAACACGAAUUAAGCUUUUUUUUUGAUAAACUCAUUUCAUCAAUUCAAGAAACUUUAUCGUAGCCAAUCAUGUCUAUUUCAUACAGAUUAUUUUUUUGUAAAUUGUUUUCUACAAUUUUGAGUAUUAGUCAGAGUACUGUUUAUCUUAUUCGAAAUUUCCUUAAACUAAUAUAAAUCAAAGCCUUCACAAAUGGGCUUUACAUUUUGUCCGAGAAAGUUGUAACUUACUUAAGUGGUUCAUUGUAUCAAAGUCUAACGAUAAUUUUGCGUAUACGGAUGAAGUAGUAUUUGAUAGCCAGUUUAUGCCCGAUUUGAAUUUAGCCAAUCAUUGUUAAAACAUUUUAGUUAAAUGGAGAGUACUCCUAUGAGCGAAAUUCUAUUUAUGCUAAAAUUGAAGAAACUGAAAUAAAAAACGUCACAC